UGUGUGAUUUCCAUCAUUGGUUUUGUCUAAAAUGUCAUACAAGGUGGUAUUAAAAAAAGAUCUUAAAAGUCUUACAUUUAACUUGUUCAUAUCUGUAGAAACCCUGGUAAUGCUUUGGUAAGUGACCACAUCCCAUUACAGCAAUUUAACUCAACAUACAACCCCGAUUCCAGAGAACUAACAACGUUUAGUAAAAUGCAAUAAAAUCAAGAAUCUGUGAUUUGUUAAUUUCUCUUUCACAUUUAUUUAAUCGACAAAAAGUACAAAAAGAUUUCUGCUAAGAAAAAAAAAGAUCUGUUAAGAGCCACAUGAAAUUUCAUUAUGUCACGAUACGGAAAAGCCAUAGAAUUCAAAUCUAUCUGUUAUAUACAAGUGUUCUUUCUCUCUUUCCUGUAUUACAGUCUUUCUGGUUGUAAUCUCAAUGAUGAAUCCUGUAAAAAUCAUCGCUUCAUGUCUUCAAUCCUCAAAGUCUCCUCUGAGAGAGCUUGAUGUGAUAACAAUGAUCUCCAGGAUUCAGGAGUGAAGCUGAUCUCUGAUGCACUCAAGAACCCAAACUGUCAACUAGAGAUACUGAGGUUAUCAGCUGUAUGGUGACAGCAUGAGGGAUGUUGUUAUUUGGCUUCAGCUCUGAGUUCAAACCGGUCACACCUGAGAGAGCUGGACCUGAGCUACAAUCCCCAGAACACUCAGCAUUUCAGCUGCGCUCUUAUCAAAAAUGAUCCAGACUAUGCACUGAAGAUACUCAAUAUUGACCAUGGAGGACAUUACAGGAUCACACCAGGACUACGAAAAUGGUUCUGUGAUCUCACACUGGAUCCAAACACAGCAAACUGUCUUCUCAUUCUAUCUGAGAAGAACAGGAAGAUCACAUGUGUGGAAGAACAGCAGUCCUACCUGGAUCAUCCAGACAGAUUUGAUGACUGUGAACAGGUUUUUGUGUAGAGAGAGUCUGACUGGACACUGUUACUGGGAGGUCGACUGGAGCGGAUAUGCUUACAUAUCUGUGUCAUAUAAAGGAAUCAACAGGAAAGGAGGAAGAGAUGACUGUAGAUUUGGAUGGAAUGAAAAGUCCUGGAGUCUCUUCUGUACUGUUGAUAGGUUCAGUGCCUGGCACAAUAACAGAAAUAUGAACAUGCCUGUUCCUUCACCCCCCUCUUCAAAAAUAGGAGUAUAUCUGGACUGGAAGGCUGGCAAUCUGUCCUUCUACAGUGUCUCUGACACACACACACUCACACACUUACACACAUUCAACACAACAUUCAAAGAGCCUCUCUAUGCCGGAUUUAAUGUGUAUUCUGCAUCAUCCACGUUGUUUCUGUGUGGGGUUGGCCAGUGUUAGAUUAUAUUACUCUAGAAGAAAAUCCCUUUGUUUGCCAAAUGUAUUCCUUACAUCAAGGAUAGGCAACUUCGGUCCUGGAGGGCCACUGUCCUGCAGAGUUUUAGCUCCAACCCUAAUUAAACACACCUGAACAAGGCAAUCAGUGUUUUCGGGAUUACUAGAUAGAUACAGGCAGGUGAGUUUUUAUGAGGGCUGAAGCUAAACUCUGCAGGAUAGUGGCCCUCCAGGCCUAUCCCUGCCUUACAUGUACUUGUUUCCCCCUUACAUUUAUAUUAGAUUAGAUUAGAUUAUGAAAGGAGUCAAAUUAUUUCCUUAUGAAAUUAACCCAUCAAGCCAAAACUCGUGAACUUACAGAAAACAGAUACCAUGCUGCCAUGCAAUAAAACAAAAAAAAAAUGAUCUGG